GUUAAGCGACUAAGCGUACACGGUGGAUGCCCUGGCAGUCAGAGGCGAUGAAGGACGUGCUAAUCUGCGAUAAGCGUCGGUAAGGUGAUAUGAACCGUUAUAACCGGCGAUUUCCGAAUGGGGAAACCCAGUGUGAUUCGUCACACUAUCAUUAACUGAAUCCAUAGGUUAAUGAGGCGAACCGGGGGAACUGAAACAUCUAAGUACCCCGAGGAAAAGAAAUCAACCGAGAUUCCCCCAGUAGCGGCGAGCGAACGGGGAGCAGCCCAGAGCCUGAAUCAGUGUGUGUGUUAGUGGAAGCGUCUGGAAAGGCGCGCGAUACAGGGUGACAGCCCCGUACACAAAAAUGCACAUGCUGUGAGCUCGAUGAGUAGGGCGGGACACGUGGUAUCCUGUCUGAAUAUGGGGGGACCAUCCUCCAAGGCUAAAUACUCCUGACUGACCGAUAGUGAACCAGUACCGUGAGGGAAAGGCGAAAAGAACCCCGGCGAGGGGAGUGAAAAAGAACCUGAAACCGUGUACGUACAAGCAGUGGGAGCACGCUUAGGCGUGUGACUGCGUACCUUUUGUAUAAUGGGUCAGCGACUUAUAUUCUGUAGCAAGGUUAACCGAAUAGGGGAGCCGAAGGGAAACCGAGUCUUAACUGGGCGUUAAGUUGCAGGGUAUAGACCCGAAACCCGGUGAUCUAGCCAUGGGCAGGUUGAAGGUUGGGUAACACUAACUGGAGGACCGAACCGACUAAUGUUGAAAAAUUAGCGGAUGACUUGUGGCUGGGGGUGAAAGGCCAAUCAAACCGGGAGAUAGCUGGUUCUCCCCGAAAGCUAUUUAGGUAGCGCCUCGUGAAUUCAUCUCCGGGGGUAGAGCACUGUUUCGGCAAGGGGGUCAUCCCGACUUACCAACCCGAUGCAAACUGCGAAUACCGGAGAAUGUUAUCACGGGAGACACACGGCGGGUGCUAACGUCCGUCGUGAAGAGGGAAACAACCCAGACCGCCAGCUAAGGUCCCAAAGUCAUGGUUAAGUGGGAAACGAUGUGGGAAGGCCCAGACAGCCAGGAUGUUGGCUUAGAAGCAGCCAUCAUUUAAAGAAAGCGUAAUAGCUCACUGGUCGAGUCGGCCUGCGCGGAAGAUGUAACGGGGCUAAACCAUGCACCGAAGCUGCGGCAGCGACACUAUGUGUUGUUGGGUAGGGGAGCGUUCUGUAAGCCUGUGAAGGUGUACUGUGAGGUAUGCUGGAGGUAUCAGAAGUGCGAAUGCUGACAUAAGUAACGAUAAAGCGGGUGAAAAGCCCGCUCGCCGGAAGACCAAGGGUUCCUGUCCAACGUUAAUCGGGGCAGGGUGAGUCGACCCCUAAGGCGAGGCCGAAAGGCGUAGUCGAUGGGAAACAGGUUAAUAUUCCUGUACUUGGUGUUACUGCGAAGGGGGGACGGAGAAGGCUAUGUUGGCCGGGCGACGGUUGUCCCGGUUUAAGCGUGUAGGCUGGUUUUCCAGGCAAAUCCGGAAAAUCAAGGCUGAGGCGUGAUGACGAGGCACUACGGUGCUGAAGCAACAAAUGCCCUGCUUCCAGGAAAAGCCUCUAAGCAUCAGGUAACAUCAAAUCGUACCCCAAACCGACACAGGUGGUCAGGUAGAGAAUACCAAGGCGCUUGAGAGAACUCGGGUGAAGGAACUAGGCAAAAUGGUGCCGUAACUUCGGGAGAAGGCACGCUGAUAUGUAGGUGAAGUCCCUCGCGGAUGGAGCUGAAAUCAGUCGAAGAUACCAGCUGGCUGCAACUGUUUAUUAAAAACACAGCACUGUGCAAACACGAAAGUGGACGUAUACGGUGUGACGCCUGCCCGGUGCCGGAAGGUUAAUUGAUGGGGUCAGCGCAAGCGAAGCUCUUGAUCGAAGCCCCGGUAAACGGCGGCCGUAACUAUAACGGUCCUAAGGUAGCGAAAUUCCUUGUCGGGUAAGUUCCGACCUGCACGAAUGGCGUAAUGAUGGCCAGGCUGUCUCCACCCGAGACUCAGUGAAAUUGAACUCGCUGUGAAGAUGCAGUGUACCCGCGGCAAGACGGAAAGACCCCGUGAACCUUUACUAUAGCUUGACACUGAACAUUGAGCCUUGAUGUGUAGGAUAGGUGGGAGGCUUUGAAGUGUGGACGCCAGUCUGCAUGGAGCCGACCUUGAAAUACCACCCUUUAAUGUUUGAUGUUCUAACGUUGACCCGUGAUCCGGGUUGCGGACAGUGUCUGGUGGGUAGUUUGACUGGGGCGGUCUCCUCCUAAAGAGUAACGGAGGAGCACGAAGGUUGGCUAAUCCUGGUCGGACAUCAGGAGGUUAGUGCAAUGGCAUAAGCCAGCUUGACUGCGAGCGUGACGGCGCGAGCAGGUGCGAAAGCAGGUCAUAGUGAUCCGGUGGUUCUGAAUGGAAGGGCCAUCGCUCAACGGAUAAAAGGUACUCCGGGGAUAACAGGCUGAUACCGCCCAAGAGUUCAUAUCGACGGCGGUGUUUGGCACCUCGAUGUCGGCUCAUCACAUCCUGGGGCUGAAGUAGGUCCCAAGGGUAUGGCUGUUCGCCAUUUAAAGUGGUACGCGAGCUGGGUUUAGAACGUCGUGAGACAGUUCGGUCCCUAUCUGCCGUGGGCGCUGGAGAACUGAGGGGGGCUGCUCCUAGUACGAGAGGACCGGAGUGGACGCAUCACUGGUGUUCGGGUUGUCAUGCCAAUGGCACUGCCCGGUAGCUAAAUGCGGAAGAGAUAAGUGCUGAAAGCAUCUAAGCACGAAACUUGCC
rnacentral:rRNA from 1 species